rnacentral:lncRNA from 1 species
UGGGGAGCCAAGACCCUGCAUCAUCCCUCAAUGUUCCAGGGGAGGGGUGUUGGAGGCUCAAAGGUUAAGAGACUUGCUCAAGACCUUCCCCAGCUGGACAGAUAGCUGGAGAAGAAGCAGGUUUUCUCUGGAGCUUAUAUCUUACCCAGGGGGAGCUAAACUAUAAGACAUUCCUACCAGUGCUUCCAAGAAAAGAUGAAUUCAGUCUCAGAUGUCAGAUUCAUUCAAUAACAGGGGUCUCUAAGAAAUGUGGGAACCCUUCUCAGGUUGUGUGGAUGAUACAGGGGCUUAAGACCGAGCAGAACAGUGGAGGUGAAGGAGGAAGACAAGAGGAGAGCUGCUCUUGCUAUGUUGGGUACAGGAUGAGCUUGAUAGACCACGAUCAAGGCAUAGGUGGUGACAGCCAAGGACUGGCCAGUGAUUCGGGGGUGUGGCUCUCACAUGAGGCCUGGGCAGAGCUGGAGGGCCAGGAGCCAGACCUAUAAAAGAGAGAGGACACCUUCCCUAGGGCAUAGGGCCACGGUCCCUGGGCUGGGAAAGCUGAGGUGGUAUAGGUCCUGAUUGCUUGGACCUCCUGUCUCCAGAGGCAAGGACACAAGGCCCAAGAGGCCCCUCCUCAGGACUCCUUCACUCUCUCUUCU